UCAAUUCUUCUUUUGUUUUAAAACACUGAUAAAGAUAGUUUCCUCAAAAAACACACAACUCGUUAUCAGUCUUACAGAACACUUUGUCUUGGAACGUGUUAGUGGAAGAAACUCAACAAUGGGAAUUCUAUUGUUGUUCGUGAUGGUCUUAGCCUUUUGUUUGUCUUACAUUGGAGUGAUUCUUUUUUUAAAGAAGAUAAGUCUCGCAGGUUUGGAACUUAAAAACAUUAACGAUGUCAAAAUACUCCUCUCCCCACCUCAAAAACCAUCGAAACUUAAUUACUUACAAAAGAGUGCAUGAUUUUUUAAAAUUUUUAUUCUAAAACAACAAAAAUUAAGUAAAUAAUUUAUUAUUAUUACGUUUGGCCGGCGUGCUUGUUGCUCCAAGUCCAGUUGCAUUGUUACCAAAUGAGAAAGACAUGAUUUAAAUUGUACACAAGUCUUGAAAUUAAUUAAAGGAAUUUUCUACA